rnacentral:rRNA from 1 species
CUAACACAUGCAAGUCGAGGCGCAUCGGGGCGAGGAGCAAUCCUUGCCGCCGGCGACCGGCGCACGGGUGAGUAACGCGUAUGCGACCUGCCCGUUGCAGGGGGAUAAUCGGGAGAAAUCCCGUCUAAUACCGCGUAAUGCCGCGGGGCUGCAUGGCCCUGCGGCCAAAGGGAGCGAUUCCGGCAACGGAUGGGCAUGCGUGACAUUAGCUAGUUGGCGGGGCAACGGCCCACCAAGGCGACGAUGUCUAGGGGUUCUGAGAGGAAGGUCCCCCACACUGGUACUGAGACACGGACCAGACUCCUACGGGAGGCAGCAGUGAGGAAUAUUGGUCAAUGGGCGCGAGCCUGAACCAGCCAAGUCGCGUGAGGGAUGACGGCCCUACGGGUUGUAAACCUCUUUUGUCGGGGAGCAAAUUCCGCCACGUGUGGCGGAGUCGAGAGUACCCGAAGAAAAAGCAUCGGCUAACUCCGUGCCAGCAGCCGCGGUAAUACGGAGGAUGCGAGCGUUAUCCGGAUUUAUUGGGUUUAAAGGGUGCGUAGGCGGACUGUCAAGUCAGCGGUAAAAUACGGGGGCUCAACCUCCGCCCGCCGUUGAAACUGACGGUCUUGAGUGGGCGAGAAGUAUGCGGAAUGCGUGGUGUAGCGGUGAAAUGCAUAGAUAUCACGCAGAACUCCGAUUGCGAAGGCAGCAUACCGGCGCCCGACUGACGCUGAAGCACGAAAGCGUGGGUAUCGAACAGGAUUAGAUACCCUGGUAGUCCACGCAGUAAACGAUGAAUACUAGCUGUCCGGGGCGAAUGACCCCUGGGUGGCACAGCGAAAGCGUUAAGUAUACCACCUGGGGAGUACGCCGGCAACGGUGAAACUCAAAGGAAUUGACGGGGGCCCGCACAAGCGGAGGAACAUGUGGUUUAAUUCGAUGAUACGCGAGGAACCUUACCGGGCUCAAACGACACAGGAACGUACCUGAAAGGGUUCGGCUCUACGGAGCCUGUGUCGAGGUGCUGCAUGGUUGUCGUCAGCUCGUGCCGUGAGGUGUCGGCUUAAGUGCCAUAACGAGCGCAACCCCCAUCGACAGUUGCUAACAGGUCAGGCUGAGGACUCUGUCGAGACUGCCGGCGCAAGCUGCGAGGAAGGCGGGGAUGACGUCAAAUCAGCACGGCCCUUACGUCCGGGGCGACACACGUGUUACAAUGGCAGGUACAGCGGGAAGCCACCUGGCGACAGGGAGCGGAACCCGAAAGCCUGUCUCAGUUCGGAUUGGAGUCUGCAACCCGACUCCAUGAAGCUGGAUUCGCUAGUAAUCGCGCAUCAGCCACGGCGCGGUGAAUACGUUCCCGGGCCUUGUACACACCGCCCGUCAAGCCAUGGAAGCCGGGGGUGCCUGAAGUGCGCUGCCGCGAGGAGCGCCCUAGGGUAAAACCGGUGACUGGGGCUAAGUCGUCACAA